GGGGCCCGCACAAGCGGUGGAGUAUGUGGUUUAAUUCGAUGCAACGCGAAGAACCUUACCUGGCCUUGACAUCCCGGGAAUUUCCUGGAAACAGGAGAGUGCUUUCAUUAGAGAGAACCUGGAGACAGGUGCUGCAUGGCUGUCGUCAGCUCGUGUCGUGAGAUGUUGGGUUAAGUCCCGCAACGAGCGCAACCCUUGCCUUUAGUUGCCAGCAGUUCGGCUGGGCACUCUAAAGGGACUGCCGGUGUCAAACCGGAGGAAGGUGGGGAUGACGUCAAGUCCUCAUGGCCUUUAUGGCCAGGGCUACACACGUACUACAAUGGCCGGUACAAAGGGCAGCGACAUUGCGAGAUGGAGCGAAUCCCGAAAAGCCGGUCUCAGUCCGGAUUGGAGUCUGCAACUCGACUCCAUGAAGUUGGAAUCGCUAGUAAUCGUGGAUCAGCAUGCCACGGUGAAUACGUUCCCGGGCCUU
rnacentral:rRNA from 1 species